rnacentral:rRNA from 1 species
AACGAACGCUGGCGGCAGGCUUAACACAUGCAAGUCGAGCGCCCCGCAAGGGGAGCGGCAGACGGGUGAGUAACGCGUGGGAAGCUACCCAUCUCUACGGAAUAACGCAUGGAAACGUGUGCUAAUAUCGUAUACGUCCUUCGGGAGAAAGAUUUAUCGGAGAUGGAUCAGCCCGCGUUGGCUUAGCUAGUUGGUGGGGUAAAGGCCUACCAAGGCGACGAUCCAUAGCUGGUCUGAGAGGAUGAACAGCCACACUGGGAGUAGGACACGGCCCAGACUCCUACGGGAGGCAGCAGUGGGGAAUAUUGGCCAAUGGGCGCAAGCCUGACCCAGACAUGCCGCGUGAGUGAUGAAGGCCCUAGAAUAGUAAAGCACUUUCACCGGUGAAGAUAAUGACGGUAACCGGAGAAGAAGCGCCGGCUAACUUCGUGCCAGCCGCCGCCGUAAGAC